CAGCCGCCGCGGUAAAACGAAGGGGGCUAGCGUUGUUCGGAAUUACUGGGCGUAAAGCGCACGUAGGCGGAUCGAUCAGUCAGGGGUGAAAUCCCAGGGCUCAACCCUGGAACUGCCUUUGAUACUGUCGAUCUGGAGUAUGGAAGAGGUGAGUGGAAUUCCGAGUGUAGAGGUGAAAUUCGUAGAUAUUCGGAGGAACACCAGUGGCGAAGGCGGCUCACUGGUCCAUUACUGACGCUGAGGUGCGAAAGCGUGGGGAGCAAACAGGAUUAGAUACCCCCGUAGUCCCUGUCUCUUAUAC
rnacentral:rRNA from 1 species